rnacentral:lncRNA from 1 species
GGUGAUUGAACCUUUAGACUUGAACUAGUUUCUUUUGUGGGUCGUGAAAACAUUGUUUAGAAAUAACCAAAAGUAGAAAAUCGAGUUAGACUCAAAACUAAAUAAUUUAACAGAAAUUCCUCAUAAUACUGAGAGCACUGAGCUCGAAUUCUGUAUCAGCAAUUAUCCAAGAUAUGCUUAUCUCAUUAAACAGGUUUCAACUUCCUUGUGCUAAAUGCAUCUUACUUCCACUCUCUUUAGUUUUUAUAUUUGGUUUCUUGAUAUAAACGCAAAAAGCAAAGUGUUCUCCUCCUAAUUCUUUUCCUCGUUAUCUAUAUUUGAUACCCCUUUCUUGAUUCAGGUUAAUGCGAGCCCAUACGAAAAUGGGUGGAUUAUAAAGGUGGAGAUGAGUGACACCGGUGAAUUAAAUUCUUUGAUGGACUCAGAACAGUACACCAAGUUUUGUGAAGAAGAAGAUGCCAAGCAUUGAGUGAGGUACUCUAGGCACCUUAUGGAAACUGGAAAGAGCUUUUUCAUGGACAAGUGAUCAUUUCUAAAAGGAAGCCAGAGGGUGGGCUUUUUUUCUUCUUGGCAUUUUUGUCCAUUGUGCUUUCAACUGUGCACUCCUUUUAUGUCUUUCCUUACAAGCUAUAAAUUCCGGUGAUUUUGAACAGAACAUUUCUGUCUGGAUUAAGAAUAAUUGUUCAUGUUGGCAUUUAAUCUCCCAUUGGCAUGCUAACAAAUUUCACAUUUGAGAAUUUUUUCUUUUUGCUGAAGCCCUUCACCUCUCAGAGAAGCAUUCAAUUUCCUAUUAUUUAUGUGGGUGACUUUAAGUUCUGUUGGGCAUUAAAGCUGUUUGGUCUGUGGAUAGUCCUACUCUCACUAAGAAUAAUUUUUAAUUGUUGGUACGAAUGGCCGUAAACCCAACAACAAUCUUGUUUCAUUAGGCUUCUAAAUGUCUUAUUCUACUGGCUUUCCAUUUCUUGAUGAAGCCCUUCACCUCUCUGGUAAGUAUUCAAUUUUAUAUCACCUAUUUGGGACCUUAUGUUUUCUUGGGCAUUAAAGCUACUUGGUCUCCCGAUGGUUGACUCUCACCAAGAAUAGAUGUGUUCUUAUAUUUUAUAAUAUGCUUAUAUGAUUGGCUGUAAACCCAAAACCAACUAGUUGUAUUUGGUUUCUAAAUGAUGACUUCUAAUGCUCAUACACCCUCAUCUGGUCAGUUUGUUAUCUUACUCUCAUACUCCCUCAUUAUGUCCCUUGUGAAUCAAGCAUCACAAGCAAACAUCUUCAGGCUAUCAAAUGCAUUCCAUGGUGCUUUGUAAGGCUUCUUUAGUACUGUAAUUAUUCUUUAUCCUGUCUCUAUAUCCUGUAUGUGUUUUUUAGCUGCCACUUUGUUGGGUACCCUUAUGAUCCCCAACAAUUUAUACACAAACCUAGCAUUAAAUAUCGUAUCCUGGAAGUCAAGGAACCAGCCUACAGUCUCUGGUGCAGUUUGUUUGGGAAUUAUAUUCUUCAUGUUAAUUUUGCCCUCUCCAAUUGCUUAACUUGCCGAUAUCUGCAAAUAAAUAUUUGUCAGCCUUUUCCCUUUAGCAUUGCCCUAUAUCCUAAUGGUUUUCCGAGUAGAAAUACCAUAAUCAAUCCACAUCUCUGAUAUCUAGGACCAUUCUGAGGCUCAAAUCUUUCCGUAUAGGGUCAGGUGACCUCCAACCAUUGUAUUGACAUUCUCUCCUCUACUUUUUCUAGUUUUAAGAGUACAAAUAAGUAACACUAAUCAGGUCUGGCCAUAGAAUAGAAACCAAGCCACAUUCUAUUCAUAGGCAUGCAGAAUAGUGAAACUUCACCCUUAUAUGAAGCCAUGUCUUCUAUCAUACAAAUGUGUAAAUUACUGGGACAUUCCUGGAGCAACCGGCAAUUUGUUAGAUAUGCAACUGUUAAUGCAGUGAUACUGUCUGUUGACUCUGUUCUGUGUGUUUAUGCAUGUGUAUGAGGCUCCAGUCAUAUGUGUUUUCUUCCAUUUGGAAAUUGUUUUUGGAAUACUUAUGUAUUUGCCUCAAUUUGGAAUCCAGUGAACUAGUAGGAAAAGGAGUACAAAUGAUGGCAUGAACAGGCUAUUUUAUUUUUUUCUUUUAAAAUUUCUAGGGAUAAAGCCUUACAAUGCUCAUAAUUCUGCAUUAUGUAAAUAAUUGAACGUUCUUGGGAUAGGGACAUGAAUCAUAAUAUGAUAAUAAUGUGAUAUAAUUGUAAGUUGAUAGAAAAAGUAGUAGCAGUCUGAAUCUGAGCAGCAACUAGGCUCUGGAAGACGGCAAGGUGGCAUCCGAGAGGAAAUGAGAGAAGAGAGCAAGGGACUGAGAAGGUGCAAGGAUGGGGACCUGGUGACCUGCACCUCUUACGGUUGCUAGUGUAAGGCCACCCUCAUAAGUCACCACCCAACCGGCCACUUGUUUCCUGUCGAACCAUGCCCUCCACUUUUGCUGAAUCCUUAACCCCAUCUUGUUUAUGCUGUACCUUGUUGAUGUCACUGGCACCCUCCCAUCUGUGUCCCCACUGUUUCAUCAUCACCAUCACUAUUUUUAUCAGUGUUAAUGAUACAAAAUAGUUUAUCUAUGUGUCCUGAAUGGAAGAAGCUUUUGUUUAGUAAUGAAAGUCUUAAGACAAAUUUUGAUUGGGUUAUGCUAUUAAUUUGGAGGUCUUUUUUUCUCCCUUGGUGUCUGAGUAUAAAAACUGCAGUGAAUGAUGUAAAUAGCAUUACUUGAUCAUGUAACAAUAUAAUAUGAAAAAAAAUACCACACUAAUUGAACUCUAAACUGGCUUUGAUGUUUCUUUUGGGGGAUGGGGUGCAGGUAGUUUGCCUCCGGAUUUCCUGUAGUUGAGAUAAAUGACUUUUUUUCAUUUACAAUCAAAGCAAAUAUGACAAAAAGGAGCUUUGAUAUCUCAUUUUUACCAACAGCUAAGAUAAGAAAAAAGGAGGGGGUGGAAAUUUGGUGUCUAUAGAGUGUACCUGUAGACCCAAAUGCGCAGACCAGCCUUUAAGAGCUUCUGAAUGGUGGGCAGCACGGUGUCUGGCGAAUCAUUCCACCUCCUAAUAACUUUACUGCAUACACACCCAACAAAAGAUAACUCACAACUCUACUCUGCCAAUAGUCCUUCCAAACAAAAUGCAUACUUUCACUAUUGUCCUUACACAUUUAAAGGUACGACAAACAAGGGAUAAACAACAAAUCUACAGUAUCAAAAGCUUUGUCAUCAUGUUAGAUUAUCUCAGUAUCAUUAGCCCCUAAGCUUACACGUACGGUAUAUUAAGCUGUGAAACAACCAAUGUUGUCUAAGCUCUGAGAAGAUUUACUUUAAUUACCAUUAAAUUCAUUCCUUGGUGUAGUUUCUACCAAUAAUUGGUUGUGGCUUAAAAGAGUAUAGAAAGUUGAUAUUUACUGAAAGAAGUAGCAGUUGCAAGUAUUAGGAGGUGGGUUUUUAAGUGCCAGAAAGAAAUGAAAAAGAGAGAUCGAGGAUCCCACUGCUAUGGUUCAUUAAAUUACUGACGGGAAAGCAGAGUGAAAGCUCUCCGUCAAAGGUUCCACAGUUGAGUAAAUGUUUGAAAGCUCUCCUUCGAAGGUUCCACAACUGUCUAGUAAAUGUUUCAAUGUCCUCCAAAUUAAAAGAUACCGCCAUCAUGUCUUUUUUCCUUUUCUACAUAAUGCAUACAUUUAUUGCAUGCUUCUGAAUAAAAAUGUAUGUAAAUAUAAGGGUAGAACUUAGAAUAAGUUCUUGUUCAAUGUGGCUGAAUGUUGUUCAUAAUUGAAUAUUUGUGUUUCAUUUGUUACUUACCUGCAUGUGGUGUAUGGAUAGGGGAGUUUGGUGACAUUGGCAUGAAGGGCCUUCUGAACAUCCUCCCUGUUGAAAUAUUUCUCAGCAUAAUCUUCUGUACAUGGAUCGUAUCCCGAUGGUAGCUGAUGCCAGAGGUCCUGAAAUCAAGAAAUCAACAAUACAUACACUUAAAUAACAUAUUCAGUUGGACUUCGAUUCUUGUAUUAAUGCUGCAUGAUUCAAAACAGAAAGCUAAGCUUCUUAUAGGACAUAGCAUCUUGCUCUUUUCCCAUUAAUUUCAUUAGUUAUCCUCUUGAAAAUGAAGAAUAAUCUUUUGUUUGUGAGACCCUUUAGGCAGAAGGCUCUAUAAUCCUGGAAAUUUUUUCAUAACACAGGACAGGGGAUUGGAGACAAGUCAACUUACGUGUUGUGCGAAGAGUCUUGGUGCAGUGACAAGUUUUCGGUAGGUUUCUUUGGAAGAACUGAGGCACACAGGUGUGUAAAUGCUAUACACGUCGAUAUCGAGAUAAGCCUCGAAGAAGCCCUCGACAUAUUUAAUGCAGAGGUUUGUAAGGUUGCCACUUUUGAAGUCGCAAUUCUUCAUUAUGCCAUGGUAGAUUUGGUCUGAUAUGAUUGCAUGACUCCAUGCGAACUCAAUGAGGCCCAUAUCGUCCGUUUCAUCAUUGAUUACUGCAUUCCCAAUCUGAUUAUCAAUCACAACCUUAAGUAAAUAGCAGUACUUAAUAAAAAUAUGACAGUCUCAUGAUCAUGAUCUUGAUAAGGGAGCGAGUAUCAGUUUAGUUGGUAGAUGAGGCAUAUAUACCAUGAAACCCUUGAGAUUAAUGUAAAAGUCUUUGCUGCUUCUUUUGUUCCUUUCAUAAAUGAGCUCAGCAAGCUGAGGAACAUAGUGACCUUAAAAGAAAGAGAGAAAGAGGUCAGUUUGGCUACAAAGAAUUAGGAAGAGAAAAAUAGGAAGAAAAAGGAGUUAUAGAUACCAGCAUAGCUCUCUCCAGUGAUGUAGAAAUCAUGGGUUUUGAGGCUGGGGAACCUCUUGAACCAUUGGACUAAGAAUGCAUGAGAAUCUUCAGCUGUGAUUCGAUCACCAAGCUUAAGUAAAUCCGAUGAUUUGUUCGUGUAUGAAAACCCUACUCCCACAGGUGCCUCCAGGAACAGAAUGUUUGCAACUGGAUGAUAUUGUAGUUAGAAAAUGAAGGUGAUCAGUACAAUUACACAUAAAUUGUUUUUGACUUCUUUUUCAUUUGAUCUAAAAGCUAAUUCAAAUCAUUGAUUAGAACAAUAGAAUGGACCGCCUUGAAUUGGUAGGCUACCUAACCUACCCCUAACUCUACACCAAACCCUCUUUCUCCAGGGCUCAUGGCUAAUCCAGAAGGAAAAUUUAUUGAAAUGAUUACCUUUGUUCCAGGAAAAAUCAUUAAGGAUAAGCUUAGUUCCGUUGCUCCUAACAAGAAACGGACCGAGUUCUUGUGCAGCUCCAUAAGCUAUGGAUGAGCAUCCAGGUCCUGCAAUAAGAAGAACAUUCUCUGAUAGGUAGAAAUAAGGUAAUGGAUAGUGAGUUUUGAUUGAGUUGUUGCAGCAAGCUUAGAUAUAUCAUGAGUUUUGCUUGAAUUUGUUUUCCUUUUAAGUGAGAGAUUUUUAUUAUCUUUCAGAGUUUCCAAGACGCUUCUGUUCCAAACCAGCCAAAUUUUCUCGGAUUCUGAAAGAAAAAGAUGAUUUGCAAAUUUGUAUUUCCUCUCAGUUGAAAUCCAACAGGAGGGCAUAUUUUAAAGCCAUUGAAGAAGAGAAAGAGACCCACAUGACAAAAAAAAAAGAAAAAAAAGAAAAAAGGAAGACAACAACAUCAUCAACCCCAUUUUUACCUCAAAAAUGGAGAAAACCCCACUUGCCAAUGAAAUUUCUUAUCUUAUCCCUGCAAACAAAUAACCCCCAUUUCUCCUUUUUAAGCACGAGUAGAAAGGACCCACAUUCCAUAAUCAACAACCCAGUGUGCAAAACAUAAAUUUUCUCACAUUUUCCCAGGAAAAUAAUGGUAAGGCUUGGUGGGUUCCACCCAGUUUUGGGUGCAUGCCUAGGGCCUGAACACAGACUACACAGUGAGGUGGACCUUCUCAGAAGGACAAAAGAGAAGGAAGGGGAUAACAUUAAGAAGAAAGUCCAACGCAAACACAUGAAAAAGGGGUUGACAGAAAAGAAAAGGACCAAAAAAAAAAAAAAAAAGCCAAGAUGAAGUGCGACGAAUCAAGUGGCUGACACCCCUGUGCAACGAUCCAUAUCUUAGGCUUCUGAUCCAACGGCUAUUAUUCCAUAUCUCCAAUCCAGUCAAACCCAAAAAUUAAAUACGUUUCAAAUCCAGAUAUAUCCAUUACACAGGUAUUUUUUAUAUGUGAAUACUUUUUUUAAUAAAAUAUUGACAAAAAAUAAUAAUUAUAAAGAUAAUUUGAGAUUUUAAAAAAUCAGAUUUUAUUUUUCGAUAUUACUUCUUUAUUUUCAAGUCUUUGACUCCUCAACAUAUAAAAAAAUAUAUAUCCGUAAAAUUCAAAAAAUCAGGUUUAGGAUGGUAUGCCAGAAAAAAUUGUGGAUUUGGAUAGCAGAGAAAGAAAUUAUGAAUGAAAAGUUAUGAAAGGUGAGAAUCACAGAGUUAUAGAAGCCGUUAGAGAUACAACAGAGGGAAUAUUCUCUCGUAUACGGUCAACGCUUUUUGAGCGUUGAGGGGACUCGCACCUUUUGCGGGCAACGCUGAGAGGACUCGAACCCCUAAAUUAAUAAAUAUUUUGCACCAAAUAUAUAUAUAUAUAUAUAUAUAUUAAAAGCUAUCAUAUAAAAAAUUACUUAAAAAACAAAUUAAUUAUAAUUAUUUUAUACUUAAAUACAAAAAUUCCAUUUAAUUGAUUAAUAAAAAUAUAAAAUUAUACAUUUAUCAUCAUUUAAUAUAAUUGAAUUAAAUAUAUCAUAAUUUAAUAUUAAAUAUAUUUUAAAAUUAAAUAUAUUAUAAUCAAAUAUCAUAAUAUUAAUUUAAUAAUUAAUACAUAUUUAUAAAAUUUAUAUUUUUUAAUCCACGUAUAUAAUAUUAUUAUCAAAUAUAAUAUAUUAUAUUAUAUAUAUAUAUAUAUAUAUAUAUAUAUAUAUAUAUAUAUCAUAAAAAAAAUUAAAAAAAUUUAUUAUAUUUAUAAUUUCAUUUCUAAGAGGUUUUUUUUUAUAUUUUUAUAAAUUUUAAUUAAAUUAAAUUUAAUUUUACUUAUAAUUUAUAUCAAAAUAUGGGUAGUCAUAUAUAUACAAAAAAAUUGAUCAUAAAUAGAAACUUGAUUUGAUAGUUCAACUAAAGAAAACAAAUCAGAAAAAAAAAAACCAAUAAAAUCAGUUAAUUAUGUUUUCUUCUUUCUUCGUAUGCAAAAUUAUAUCACAUAAAUAAAUAGCAAAAUUCCUUCUUCCUUUUUUUUUUCAGCAUCCAACUUCAAUUCACUUUUUCGUUCUGUGUUUUUCUACCUUUCCCUCUAGUUUCCUUUCAUCCAAACAGAAUCUUUAAAAUCUGGCAUUUUUCUUCAAAAUUAUUACAGAGGCGUGUGUAUCAGUGAUGAAAAAGACCAACAGAAAAGUUGUGAAAAUGAAGCAGUAAAUCUGAGAAAAUGGAUAAAUCGAGAGAGGAAGAAGAGAGAAGCGAGAAGAGAGACCUCCAUUGAGCCAAAGCACAAGAGGCUUUUCAAGAACACCGCCUUGGGCUUCAAAGAACCAGUAGAAGAGUGCUUUCUCGUCUUGUGGCCGGAGUUUCACGUACCCUGCGUAGUGCCGGAACUCCACCGCCGGCUGUCCCGGCAAAUCCUUAACUCUGUCUUUCUCUUGCUGUAAUUCCUCCGCUCCGGCCACCGAGGCAGCCGCCGUCAUCGCCUGUAGAACCAGACAGAAGAUCAGCCAGUUGCAGAGAGAAGACGCCAUUGAAACCAUUCUCCGUGCUCGCAGCCCUUCUCUCAGUCUACUUUAUAGACGAACAGCAGAGACAAUGAAGCACUAAUAAAGUUUCAUUUUAUUUUUUUUAAAUUCAUAAAAGUAACUGUAAAAACUGAAUUUUAUUGCUCCACUACUUCACUUACAAAAUUUUUCUAUCCCAACUUAUGUUUAUGGCAUUGAAGAAUGAACGAAGACACAACUCACAAGAAUUAUAAUUAAUAUUUUAUAAAUUUAAAUUAGAAUGAAAAAUUAUGAUUUUUUUUAAGUCUUGUUUGGGUAUCUUUUAGCACUAGAAUAAAUUAUUUUCUAUUUCAAAAAUAUUUUUGUUAAAAAAAAAGGAUAAUUAUGCAAUUUUAAAAUAUUUUAAUUAAAUAAAAAUCAGAUUUCCGCAUCUAAAUUAUGGAUUCUGAUUGAAAGUUGUAUUUAAACACUCCUAAAUUGCACUUGAACUUUAAAACAAUGCUUGUGGUUUUUUAAAAGCUCUUCCAAGUACAAAAUUAAUAUUAAUUUUUUUGGUCUUUUUCCUUUAUUUAUUGAAAAAAAAAGUGAAGUGAAUGUAAAAUUUGAAACGACUUUGUGUAAAUGGAUAUUGGAUAAACCCAUAAUAUAUUUUUAUUAUUAAUUAAAGUCCCAUUUAAUAGUGAUUUUAUAAAAUAUUUUUAAUUUUUCUAAUGCUUUAAGUUUUUUAUUAUUUAAGUAUUAAAAAUAUUUUAUAAAAUCAUUUUCAAAUGCACAGGAGAAUAAAAGGAGGGCAAGUGGAACCAAAGUAAGUAAAUUGAAUGAUAUAAUAUUUUAUUGGUCACAAGAUUUGUACAAAUGUUUUGGCUUUUUAAGACAGGGUUGCCAAUAGGAGCCUUCUCGUUUCGGAUUGUGGAUUAAUCCCACUUUUUUGAGUACCCAAAAAAUUAGGAAUCGUGUCAUCUUUUUGGGCAUUCAAAAUAGGGAAAAAGAAUAAGAAAAAAAGAAGGAAGGUCCAUUUUUUUGAGUGGUUUUUUUUUUGAUGUUGCAAAAUGAAAAAAAGAAAAAGAAAAAAAAAAGUUAGAGUCUACAAUUUAUUUUUUAAAAAAAUGGAUAGAGGGAAAAUGUUUUGUUUUUAAAUUUGAUUUAUCCAUAUUUUAAAAUUAUAAUAAAAUUAUGUUUUUUUAUUGGAAAUAUUUAUAAUAGUGUUUUAAGAAUAUAGUUGAUUGUACAAAAAUAUUUUUACUUCUUCAAUAAUUGAAAUGUAGGAGUUAAAAUAACAAAGGCUAAGUUUAAUACAAAAAAAUUUUGAAAUAAAUUUAUAGAUUAAGCUAAUUUUUAGAAAACAUUUCUAAUCUAAAAAUGAUUAAAAUAGUCCAUUUGGUGAUGAUUAUAAGAAGCGUUUUUAAGUUAAAAUGUGUUUUUGAAAAAAAAAAAAUGAGUGUUUGAUAAAAUUAAGGAAACAGAAAAAUGUUGAAAAGUCAAUUGUAAUGUUUUAUAGAAAAACACGUUAUAUAUGAUUUUCUAAAAAAAAAAUCAUUAAAAACACUUUGAGUAUAAAUACUAUCAAAUGCAAAAUGUUGGAUACAAUUUUAAAAAGUUAAAAAAUCACUUAUAUUUUUUAAGAAAUAUUUGAUAGGUGAUUAUUCAAAAAACAUUUAUAAUUUUUACUAAAAGUGCUUAAAAUAAAUUACUAUCAAUACUUGUAGAAAAUCCUUAUAGUUUAGAAAAUAUUUUUGAAUAAAAAAGAGAUAUUAAAUAAGAUUUAGAAAUUAAUUUUAAAAAAAUUAAAAAAUUCGCUUAUAGUAGUUUAUAAAAAACACUUAGAAAUGUGACUUUCCAAAAAUGUACUCUUAGAAAAUAAAUUUUUUACUAAAAACACUUCAAAUGAAAAUAAUGUUUAAAACGAGUUCAAAUUAAAAUAAUAUUUAAAAUGCGUUUGAUAAUGAUUUUAAUAAUAUUUUUAACCUUUUUGAUGUUGAAAAAUAAAAAUUUUCCAAGUGUAAAAAUUGCUAAAAACACUUUUUAAAAGCACCUUCAAAUGCAAUAAACACUCUAAAAGUGAUUUCAAUUUUAAAUUUCUUUUAAAGUAUUUUGUUUAUGAUUAUGACGUUAGUGACUCACAAAUAAAGAAUCUAUGAAUUUGAAUCAUGAUUGAUACUUGUGAGGCAGAGUCUUAACCAGUUAUCAUUUAAUGAAUUUAAAUCCAUGAUUGAUGGUUGUGAGGCAAAGUGUUAGCCAAUUCUACUUAACAUUUAAUGAAUUUGAAUCCCUCAACAAAGUCUUAGCCAAUUUGUCAUCUUUAAGAGAAAUCGUGUGAAUUAAUUCAAUACAUUUCUUUUCAAAAAUAGAAAUCUCACAACCCAAAAAUAUACUCCUAGAAAAUAUAUUUUUACUAAAAAUACUUCAAAUUAAAAUAAUGUUUAAAAUAUGUUUGACUUUAAUUUUAAGAAAUAUUUUUAAUCUUUAUAAUAUUAAAAGAUAAAAAAUUUCAAGUAUUAAAAAGAGUAAAAAUACUUCUUAAAAUCAUUUUCAAAUAGACACUCUAAAGUCAUUUCAAUUUUAUUUUUUUUGUAAUAUUUUGUUCAUGAUUACACAUCAGUGACCCACAAUAUAAAGAAUCUACUUAUCAUUUAAUGAAUUUGAAUCCAUAAUCGAUGGUGUUAAUGCAAAGUCUUAGUCAAUUUGUCAUUUUUGAGAAAACCGUGUGAAUUAAUUCAAUACAUCUUUUUCAAAAAUAGAAAUCUCACAACCAAAAUAUUCUCUUAGAAAAUACAUUUUUACUAAAAACACUUCAAAUUAAAAUAAUUUUUAAAAUAUGCUUGACAAUAAUUUUAAGAAAUAUUUAUAGUUUUUCUAAUAAUAAAAGAUAAAAAAUUUCAAAUAUUAAAAAAAAUAUUAAAAACAUUUCUUAAAAUCACUUUCAAACACACUAAACACUUUAGAGUCAUUUCAAUUUAAAAAAUUUUCUUUUAAAGUAUUUUGUUCAUGAUUAUGACAUCAGUGACCCACAAUAUAAAGAAUCUACUUAUCAUUUAAUGAAUUUGAAUCCAUAAUCUAUGGUUGCGAGGCAAAGUCUUAGUCAAUUUGUGAUUUUUGAGAGAAUUGUGUGAAUUAAAUCAAUACAUCUUUUUCAAAAAAAUUAAAAUUAAAAAAAAACUAAAAACAUUUCUUAAAAUCACUUUCAAAUGCACUAAACACUUUAGAGUCAUUUCAAUUUAAAAAAUUUUCUUUUAAAGUAUUUUGUUCAUGAUUAUAACAUCAAUGACCCACAAUAUAAAGAAUCUACUUAUCAUUUAAUGAAUUUGAAUCCAUAAUCUAUGGUUGUGAGGCAAAGUCUUAGGUGGUGUUUGUUUUUUUACUUAAUUCUAAAUAUAACCUUAAUACUUAAUAGUGUUAAAUAUUAAGUUGUUUAUUUUUAUAAUAUUUUAUUUUUAUUAAGUAUUAAAAAGUAAAGAAAAACCAAUAUGUUAUUUUUUCUAUUUAGAAAAAGUUACAUAUUUUGGAUUUUUUUAUUUAGUAAAAAUUUUAUAAUAAGUUAUGAAAAAGUAGAUAAACAAACAACCUAAAUUUUGAAAACAAUUUGUUUUCAGCAAAAAGCAAAAAAAAAAACAAACACCACCUUAGUCAAUUUGUCAUUUUUGAGAAAAUUGUGUGAAUUAAUUAGUACAUUUUUUUCAAAAAAAAAAAAGACUAAAAAUAUUUUUAAAAAUCACUUUCAAGCACAAAACACUUUAGAGUCAUUUCAAUUUUAAAUUUUUUCUUUUAAAGUAUUUUGUUCAUGAUUAUGACAUCACUGACUCACAAUAUAAAGAAUCUACUUAUCAUUUAAUGAAUUUGAAUUUAUGAUUGAUGGUUGUGAGGCAAAGUCUUAGCCAAUUUGUGAUUUUUGAGGGAUCCAUGUGAAUUAAUUUAGUACAUCUUUUUCAAAAAUUAUAAAAAUUUCAUAAUAAGUUAUGAAAAAAUAGAUAAACAAAUUACUUUAAGCAAAAAGCCAAAAAAACAAACACCAUCUUAGUCAAUUUGUCAUUUUUGAGAAAAUCGUGUGAAUUAAUUAGUACAUUUUUUUCAAAAAAAAAAAAAGACUAAAAAUAUUUUUUAAAAUCACUUUCAAAUGCACAAAACACUUUAGAGUCAUUUCAAUUUUAAAUUUUUUCUUUUAAAGUAUUUUGUUCAUGAUUAUGACAUCAAUGACCCACAAUAUAAAGAAUGUACUUAUCAUUUAAUGAAUUUGAAUUGAUGAUUGACGGUUGUGAGGUAAAGUCUUAGCCAAUUUGUCAUUUUUAAGAGAACCGUAUGAAUUAAUUCAGUACAUCUUUUUUAAAAAUUAUAAAAAUUUUAUAAUAAGUUAUGAAAAAGUAGAAAAACAAACAACUUAAAUUCUGAAAACAAACCGCUUUUAACAAAAAGCCAAAAAAACAAACACUAUCUUAGUCAAUUUGUCAUUUUUGAGAGAAUCGUGUGAAUUAAUUCAGUACAUCCUUUUCAAAAAAAAAAAAAAAGAAUAAAAAUAUUUUUUAAAAUCACUUUCAAACGCACAAAACACUUUAGAGUCAUUUCAAUUUUAAAUUUUUUCUUUUAAAGCAUUUUGUUCAUGAUUAUGACAUGAGUGACCCACAAUAUAAAGAAUAUACUUAUCAUUUAAUGAAUUUGAAUUGAUGAUUGAUGGUUGUGAGGCAAAGUCUUAGUCAAUUUGUCAUUUUUUAGAAAACUGUGUGAAUUAAUUCAGUACAUCUUUUUCAAAAAUUAUAAAAAUUUUAUAAUAAGUUAUGAAAAAGUAGAAAAACAAAUAAUCUAAAUUCUGAAAAUAAAUUGCUUUUAGCAAAAAGCCAAAAAAAACAAACACCACCUUAGUCAAUUUGUCAUUUUUAAGAGAAUCGUGUGAAUUAAUUCAGUACAUCUUUUUUUUAAAAAAAGACUAAAAAUAUUUUUUAAAAUCACUUUCAAAUGCACAAAACACUGUAGAGUCAUUUCAAUUUUAAAUUUUUUCUUUUAAAGUAUUUUGUUCAUGAUUAUGACAUUAGUAACCCACAAUAUAAAUAAUUUACUUAUCAUUUAAUGAAAUUGAAUUCAUGAUUGAUGGUUGUGAGGUAGAGUCUUAGCCAAUUUGUCAUUUUUGAGACAACCCUAUAAAUUAAUUCAAUACAUCUUUUUCAAAAAUAGAAAUCUUCUCGCCAAAAAUAUACUCCUAGAAAAUAUAUUUUUACUAGAAACACUUUAAAUUAAAAUAAUAUUUAAAAUGUAUUUAACAAUAAUUUUAAGAAAUAUUUUUUCUCUUUUUAAUACCGAAAGAUAAAAAAUUUCAAAAAUAACUGUCAAAUACACUAGAUACUCUAAAGUCAUUUCAAUUUUAAAGUUUUUCUUUUUAGAGUGUUAUUUUCAUAAUUACUACGUCAAAAAUCUACUUAUCAUUUAAUUAAUUUGAAUCCAUGAUGUAUGGUUGUGACACAAAUUCCUAGUCAACCGUGUGAUAUUAGAUACAUCUUCUUCAAAAAUAAGAAUCUCGCCGCCAGACCCGGCUAUGGGCCGUGGAACUUGCAAGCUAGUCAAGAGUCAUGCUCUCCGCCCAACAAGUCCUUUCAUAAAAAGUUAAAAAAAAAAAAAAAAAAACAUAUUUUUGAGGAUGGUGCUUUAAAAGGGUAAGAAUAAUUUAUUAAAAAAUUAUUUUUUAUUUUGUGUCAUGUACAAAAUUUUAAAUUAUUUUAUAUAUUUUUGUUUUUUUUUUUACUAAAAAUUUUGUUUUUUUAGAACAAAUUUAUAUAUUUUCUCAUGUGUUUUUUUUUUGUAAAGUUCUUGGAAACACAAAUAAAAAUAUGGACUUUAAUAUUUUUCAUAUAUAUAUAUAUAUAUAUAAUGCGAAGAAUAAUUUGAAAAAAUAGAUUUUACUUUUGAUAUGAAUGAGGAGUAUUUUUCAAAAUAUUUAUCCAUAACUAUUUUUUUAAAUCAUUGUCAACAAUUAAUUUUUAACAAUUAUUUUCAAAAAUCUUGUUUCUUUUUUUAUUCUUUAUUUUCAAAAAUAGUUACUUAGAGCAUGUUUGGCAGUGUAAUUUAAAAAUAAUUUUCGAUUAAGUGUCAUGCCCAAUUAACCCAAAGGUUGUCAGGCCCAACAAUUGGAUGGGCUUGGCCCAUUAAAUUUGGAGCCCAUCUCGAGCCCCAAUUCCAAGUCGGUUUGGGGUCAAAUUGAGAAAUAUUAAGAGUGAAAGGACUUUUAUAUAUACAAAAAUAAAAGAAAUUUUAAUUUCUCACCUUCUUCUCUCUCCGGCUCUAGGUAAAACCCUAUCCCUAAUGUUAGUACUCUUGAGAAAAUUUCUGAAAAAUAGUCAAGUAGUUGUAGGGAUUUUUAUUCGGAUUAAUCAGAUCAGUUUCAAGUGAGUUGAAAGUUUUGUUUUCUCGUCUCCCGAACAGUCAAAGAUCCGCAAAUGGAAAUUUUCUCUUCUUUUCCUAUAAGGCUUUUCAUAUUUGUUUGUGGCAUCGUAUUUGACAUUUGGUGUUGUUUUCCUGUGAAAUUCUCUCGGUUUUUCUCACUGAAACCUACCCUUCGUUUGGAUAUGGAGAGCCGUUUUCUGGUUAGAACGUAGCCACGUCGUUGUUUUGAUUGAAAAUGAUUCGUAUAAGUAGUAUUUCGCUAAUGACAUAUCCCUAUUUAUCACUAAAGCGAUUCUAGGUUUUUUUUUUUUUUUUUUCGUUUGUUUGAUGAUUUCUAGGGUUUCUGGUUCUUGUAUGGUUUUCUCAUGCUUCAUUUAUAAGUUUUUGCAAAUGGAAUUAUCAAAUAUAACUUAGAUUUUUUCGUUUUCCUUUCUGUUUGAGAUCAUAUGUAUGAAUAAUCUGAUAUUCUGAGUGUAUAGUGUUGUCUUUAUUCUUUGUAGAAAAAGAGAAAGAAGCAGAUUCACAUACUCCAUUUGUUCUUAAUGCUUUGUUGAUAGACUAAAUAAUUUAGUUGACUUUGCAUGUUGUUAUGCUUUUAUGUCUUUGAAACUAUAUCUUUUGAUACUGCUCGAUCUAUAGAGAUACCAUGGCAGUAGUCAAGAAAAAGUCUACUGUCUUAUUUAUAACUUGUUUGGAAUAUGGAAUUGCUCAGAUUUAAUAUGUGGGAAUGAAAAUUCGGGUUUAGCUUUAUUUCUUUGUCUCAACAACAACUGAUAGAAUUAUUACCAAGGUUUGAAAUAAUAUUGGAGAAAUAUCAAUGAAUAUUUUGACAAAAAUAUCGAUCUUGUCCAAAAUUAAUGAAAAUGCUUAAAAAACUUUCAAAAAAAUGAUAAAAUAAAGACGCAUUCACAUAUUAAAGUUAUUUUUAUAUGUAAUUGAUAUAAGUAUGAUUAAAAAUAUUAUUUAUCAAAUUUUAUAAAAAAAUUAGCUUAAAUUCCUUUAAUAUAUUCAAAUUCAGUUAUUUAAAAAUUUUAAAAAUACUUUUAUUGAAACUUGUUUUAUGACAUUUUAAAUAAAAAAUUAAAUUAAUUUAUAUAAAAUAUUUUAUUUGAGAUUUAAUUUCCAAAAUUUUAUUAUGGUGACAACCUAUUGUGGCAAUUUUUUAAAAUAGGAUUAAUGAGAUAAAUUAUGAUACAUAUAUGAUUUUUUUUUUUAAAUAUUUAUAUUUUUUAUAUUUAAUUAUCAUAUAAAUGAUAUAAAAAACUUGUUAAGAAAAUUAUAAUGAUUGCUUUAUAUUUUUAGUAAUCAAUUAAAUAAAAAUUAAAAUAAAAUAAUUAGAAUUAAUUUAUUUAUUAGAAUUUUGUUUUAAUAAGGAACUUUGAUAUAGUAAUAUGCAUGCCUAUUAACAAGGGCAAACUUGUCCCAGUGGUGGCCAUGCUGAAGUUCAAGUCUUUUGGCCAGGGUUUGAACCCCACGCUGCAGUGACAGUGAAAAAAUAAUUUUGAGGGGAGCUGUAGAACGAAAUAUCAGGAAAUUUCUUGAAAAAUCGGCAAAAAAGCUGAUAAAUGCCGGCGAUAACUUCAAAAAAAUAGCAAAAUUUCUCCCAACCAACUGAUAACCGAAAUAUCGGGGAAAUUUCACCGAUAAAAAUCGAACAUUUUAAACACUGAUUGUUACUUUAGUGUUUGGGCUAAGGUUAUCUUAUGUGAAAUUUGUUAUUGUCAGGUAUUGUGUGUGCUGCCAAUAGUGCCCAUCUGGUGGAAAAACCUAAGAACGUGCAGAUUGUUCUUUGUUAGACCAAAGUGUGCUGACUCGUGUUACUUUUCCUGUUUAUAAGCUCUGUUUUUUUUUUUUUAUUAGGAAUAAUGCUGGGUGCAUUGCCAAUCUUGCCCCUUCCAGCAACUCCCUCAGAUGGGAAUCUUGGCUCUCUUCCCCUAUCUCAGCUGCAGGUUCAGUUGCAACCCACACAGGGACCAUUGGAAUCAUACAUCCUCCUCCAGACAUUAGAAACAUUGUUGACAAGACUGCACGGUUUGUUGCAAAAAAUGGUCCUGAAUUUGAGAAAAGAAUCAUGGCAAAGUUCAGUUAAUUUUAAUUAUAUUUGAUUUUCUUUGGGAUUUUCCAUGGUGAAAUUAAACAUGAGAAAUUCAUUUAUUCAACAUUUUUUUUUCCUUAGUAUUUUCCUGGAACCAAACAUAGCCUUAGUGAAUUUGGUUACAAAUAUAGCUUCCUGUUACUUUUGAUCAUACUUUCCCUUCUAUCUGCAGUUGUGAAGGAUCUGAAGUAUGCUGACUCUCAUGAGUGGGUGAAAAUUGAUGGGAAUUCUGCUAUUGUGGGCAUAACCGACCAUGCUCAAGAUCAUUAAGUGAUGUUGUGUAUGUUGAGUUACCUGAAGCAGGGGCUGCUGUAACCCAGGGCAGCAGUUUUGGUGCAGUUGAAAGCGUGAAGGCCACAAGUGAUAUAAACUCUCCUGUUUCUGGAAAAGUGGUUGAAGUUAAUGAAGAGCUUAACAGCUCACCCGGUUUGCUGAGUCCUCAAAUGCUUGGUUAGUGUUUGUGAUAUUGCUUUCAAAUGAAUUGUUGAUAUUGUUUUAUAAUGAAUUAUUGAUGUUUUGGUAUCAAUUUCUUUUGUUCUUUUAUUUUUCUUAAUUUUGUAUGCAUAUGUGGGGGUGUUGGAUUGAUGACAUUUGUGCCUCAUUGAAUUGGUUCUUGGUGUUGUUUUUGUUAGGAAGAGAACCAAUUUGCACAAGUAAAUUAAAGAUUUUGGCAAACUUCCCAAUAAUGGUUAAGUUUCCCCAUUCAAAGGAGUGAUUUGAAACUCAGAUAAAUGUUGAACUGUUCAGACUGUUAGCCUGCCGCCAUUACCAUUUUUUCAAACUCCUCACUCCCAUCUUCCUUUUCUCUUUUCUGCAGUGUUCGAAUCCGAAAGGUGGCCCUUCCUUUUCUUUUAUUUUGUGCUUGUGUUUUUUCUAAAUUCAAUUUCCCAAACUAUGAUGAUUGGACAAUGGAGCCUAUAUCCAAUUCAAAAAAAUCACACCUCUUAGGUAUUUCAUCAUUUCGUUUUUGCUUGCAUUGAUUUUUGUGCAUUCCACUUCUACGUUCCUAAGGGUCACCCUUUUCUAGUUCCUUAUUUGUGGUUCUAAAACCCCUUUCAAAAUGGUUGGUCAAUAAUGAAAGGAUAAUGAGAUUUGCCCGACUGAUAAGCUCUUUCAGUGCUUCAUCUUGGGUUGUUCAGACAAUUUAUUGGUGCUCACUGGGCACUCCUGGAGGUGAUUGAACCUUUAGACUUGAACCAGUUUCUUUUGUGGGUCGUGAAAACAUUGUUUAGGAAUAACCAAAAGUAGAAAAUUGAGUUAGACUCAAAACUAAAUAAUUUAACAGAAAUUCCUCAUGAUACUGAGAGCUCUGAGCUCAAAUUCUGUAUCAUCAAUUAUACAAAAGAUAUGAUUAUCUCAUUAAACAGGUUUCAACUUGUGCUAAAUUGAUCUUACUUCCACUCUCUUUAGUUUUUAUAUUUGGUUUCUUGAUAUAAACGCAAAAAGGAAAGUGUUUUCCUCAUUAUUUAUAUUUGAUACCCCUUUCUUGAUUCAGGUUAAUGCGAGCCCAUAUGAAAAUGGGUGGAUUAUAAAGGUGGAGAUGAGUGACACCGGUGAAUUAAAUUCUUUGAUGGACUUAGAACAGUACACCAAGUUUUGUGAAGAAGAAGAUGCCAAGCAUUGAGUGAGGUACUCUAGGCAUCUUAUGGAAACUAGAAAGAGGAUUUUCAUGGACGAGUUAUUGUAUCUAAAAGGAAGCCAGAGAGUGGGCUUUGGUUCUUCUUGGCAUUUUUGUCCAUUGUGCUUUCAACUGUGCACUCCUUUUAUGUCUUUCCUUGCAAGCUAUGAAUUCUGGUGAUUUUGAACAGAAUAUUUCUGUCUAGAUUAAGAAUAAUUGUUCAUGUUGUCAUUUGAUCUCCCAUUGGCAUACUAACAAUUUUCGAAUUGAGAAUUUCUUCUUUUUGCUGAAGCCGUAUACCUCUCUGAGAAGUAUUCAAUUUCCUAUUAUCCAUGUGGGUGACUUUAAGUUCUGUUGGGCUUUAAAGCUGUUUGGUCUGUCGAUGGUCCUACUCUCACUAAGAAUAAGUUUUAAUUGUUAGUAUGAAUGGCUGUAAACCUGACAACAAUCUUGUUUCAUUGGGUUUCUAAAUGUCUUAUUUUACUGGCUUUCCA